rnacentral:misc_RNA from 1 species
AAGUGAAUCCAGAGUCCGUCC